rnacentral:rRNA from 1 species
UUAGACGCUAGCGGGUAGCCUUACACAUGCAAGUCGAACGGCAGCACGGACUUCGGUCUGGUGGCGAGUGGCGAACGGGUGAGUAAUGUAUCGGAACGUGCCUAGUAGCGGGGGAUAACUACGCGAAAGCGUAGCUAAUACCGCAUACGCCCUACGGGGGAAAGCAGGGGAUCGCAAGACCUUGCACUAUUAGAGCGGCCGAUAUCGGAUUAGCUAGUUGGUGGGGUAACGGCUCACCAAGGCGACGAUCCGUAGCUGGUUUGAGAGGACGACCAGCCACACUGGGACUGAGACACGGCCCAGACUCCUACGGGAGGCAGCAGUGGGGAAUUUUGGACAAUGGGGGAAACCCUGAUCCAGCCAUCCCGCGUGUGCGAUGAAGGCCUUCGGGUUGUAAAGCACUUUUGGCAGGAAAGAAACGUUCCGGGUUAAUACCCCGGGAAACUGACGGUACCUGCAGAAUAAGCACCGGCUAACUACGUGCCAGCCGCC